AUGAACGCUGGCGGCGUGCCUCAUCCAUGCAAGUCGAGCGAACAGACGAGGAGCUUGCUCCUCUGACGUUAGCGGCGGACGGGUGAGUAACACGUGGAUAACCUACCUAUAAGACUGGGAUAACUUCGGGAAACCGGAGCUAAUACCGGAUAAUAUAUUGAACCGCAUGGUUCAAUAGUGAAAGACGGUUUUGCUGUCACUUAUAGAUGGAUCCGCGCCGCAUUAGUUAGUUGGUAAGGUAACGGCUUACCAAGGCAACGAUGCGUAGCCGACCUGAGAGGGUGAUCGGCCACACUGGAACUGAGACACGGUCCAGACUCCUACGGGAGGCAGCAGUAGGGAAUCUUCCGCAAUGGGCGAAAGCCUGACGGAGCAACGCCGCGUGAGUGAUGAAGGUCUUCGGAUCGUAAAACUCUGUUAUUAGGGAAGAACAAAUGUGUAAGUAACUAUGCACGUCUUGACGGUACCUAAUCAGAAAGCCACGGCUAACUACGUG
rnacentral:rRNA from 1 species